GGUCAAGCUACUAAGGGCUGCUGGUGGAUGCCUUGGCAUCAAAAGGCGAUGAAGGACGCGAAACCUGCGAUAAUCUUCGGUGAGCUGGAAAAAAGCGUUGACCCGGAGGUUUCCGAAUGGGGAAACCCAGUGGGGAUAGUUACCCACUAUUGCAAUCUGAAUUCAUAGGGUUGCAAGGCAAUACCCGCCGAACUGACACAUCUAAGUAGGCGGAGGAGAAGAAAUCAAAUCGAGAUUCCCAAAGUAGCGGCGAGCGAACUGGGAAGAGCCCAAACCGAAGUCUUUGGCUUCGGGGUUGUAGGGCUGGCUAAAGGAUUAUGAAGGCUUAGUCAAACAUUUUGGAAAAUUUGACGACACAGGGUGAUAGUCCCGUAGACGAAAAGCUAACAUAACAGGGCCAGUUCCUGAGUAGGGCCGGACACGUGAAACCCGGUCUGAAUCUGGGGGGACCACCCUCCAAGGCUAAAUACUCAUUGAUGACCGAUAGUGAACCAGUACCGUGAGGGAAAGGUGAAAAGAACCCCUGUUAGGGGAGUGAAAUAGAACCUGAAACCAGCAGCUUACAAACGGUCGGAGGCCUAUGACCUUUUUAAGGUAAUGGCUGACGGCGUGCCUUUUGCAUGAUGAGCCA
rnacentral:rRNA from 1 species